rnacentral:rRNA from 1 species
UACGUAGGGGGCGAGCGUUGUCCGGAUUUACUGGGCGUAAAGAGCUCGUAGGCGGUUUGUUGCGUCGGCUGUGAAAUCCCGAGGCUCAACCUCGGGUCUGCAGUCGAUACGAGCAAACUAGAGUGUUGCAGGGGAGACUGGAAUUCCUGGUGUAGCGGUGAAAUGCGCAGAUAUCAGGAGGAACACCGGUGGCGAAGGCGGGUCUCUGGGCAACAACUGACGCUGAGGAGCGAAAGCGUGGGGAGCGAACAGG